CCUACGAAACACACGUGUUUUCUUUUCGCUCUGCAAAUUCCCAUACACGCUUAGAUCAGUUUACCUAUUUAUGGGUACUUUAAUCACCCAUAUUUGGGUACUGCAAAAAUCACUCGUAUUAUGAGUGAAAUGUACUGAGAAAAUCAGUCAGUUUCACUCAAAUUAUUUGUUAUAUGACUUUACCAAUAUAUGGGUAAACUAAUUAACUCAUAUUUGGAUGAAAAAAUAAACAUUUGCACCAGAACCACGAUCAGACCAACAGAUCAGUUUUGGGAAGUUGGUGAUAAAAAUUGUAACUGUCAAAGUUUCAUCAGUUGAAAUCAUAAUUAGCUUCACAUUAGCGCCUGUAUAAUCACCUCUCAGCCGUUAACGGAUACCCAUCGAAUUAAUAGCCGAUGUAUGCACCCGGUCAAUAGGAACAGCAUAAGCCGAUGCACCCUUGUAAGGACUGCGCUGCUCGCUUUUCAAGGAUUUCCGCUGGUGGAACCUCCGUUGUCGGUCGUGACAGAACUGACAAAAAUCCGGCUUGCGUGUAGCCGACGGCCGGAAAUGAAAUACCAGCACUCGGUACUCAAAGUGAAGUUCCGAUUAUUAUUGUGAUCAGGAGAUUCCCUAACAUAGCGGAAAUCGAUGGCCGCAGCAGAGACUAUUUCAAGCAGAAACUUCUACGACUGGUAGCUGCAUUUCGGGCGGCUAUGAGGACCCCAGCAGCAGUGUAAAACCCAUAUUGAAACACAUCCUAUUCCACCCGGUCUUUUAAUAACCCAGCGAAUCAAUAAACUGUGAUGGCACCAGCGGAGAAUUUGAACAAACGACAACCUGAGGCUUACAUAGAACGCGGUGAGCAUUCCUCCUUUCGAACCACAAUGGGGAAUCCGUCGAAUCAGCAGCCACCGUAUACACAGUUCCAAAUUCAGCUGGAAACUGUGGUCAUAUCGUCAUCAACAUAGGGUUUGGUACUACAAAGUGUUCAACGAGAUGGAGACCCGAUUCGCCCACGCAGCAAGCAGGAAUAUCCGGCGACAUGUCGACAGCACCAGCUGUUACUUAUUUCACCAUAAGCAACUCCAACUAUUCUCGAUUUUAAAAGUGGUAGGGUAAAAGACCCAAUAGUGGAGGAACUAAGCAUGUUCCACUACUAUUUGUUGGUUCACACCAAGCCUAUACUUCAUUUCACUUACCUCAAGGGUGCACAUGGAAGAUUAUUAAUUAUAUUUAAUGCGAAAGGGGUUCAGAUUGCAGUAGCAUCCAUCAUUGUUACCUAAAAUGGUACCUCCAAUUAUUGGUGCAGUGUUCCAAUAGUUGCGGUAUUUUUUUAAUUCG